CUUUCUUUACUCCCAUUCUAUCUUCUUCUUCUUCUUCUUCUUCUUCUUCUUCUUCUUCUUCUUCUUCUUCUUCUUCUACGAUUUUUAAUUUGUCUCUGUACAUUCACUGAAACAACAAAGUAGAUCUGAUUUUUAUUUGAGUUUGGGUCCAAGAAGUGAAGAAAAAUAUUGGAGAGGAAGAUCGACGCCUAUAUUCAAUAGCCAUGGAAACUCUGUACGCUUCCUCUCAAGCUCCGUGGAGAAGAAGACCAGGAAGACGGCGAGCAAGCUCCGUGGAGAAGAAGACCACGAAGACGGCGAGCGACUAUGAAGGUGGCUGGAUGCAACGACGAGUACGCCUCAUCUCUGAAGCUUGACUCUCAAAUCCCACAGCGAAGAAGAAGAAUCAAGGCGGAUGUAAAGAGCAUAGAAGAGACAACGACGAAGGUGGUGGUGGGGCUGGUGAGGACUGGAAGAUGAAGAAGACCACGUAGGUGGUGCCAUGGUGGUGUGCGGCGGCGUACAAGAUGAAGAAGGCGACAUAUGGUAGUUAAUUAGGAAUUAGGUUUAAGCUUGGUUUAGGGUUUUGGUUUAUUUGGUUUGGUUUUAGUACUUUUUUAUCUAAUUAGAUUUUUUUUUUUAUUUUUGUAAAACAAUUAACUGUAAAUAAAUUUAAAUAAUAAAAAAAUCUUAAAUAUAUAAAUCAAUUUUAA
rnacentral:lncRNA from 1 species